UACAGAGGUCUCGAGCGUUGUUCGGAUUCAUUGGGCGUAAAGGGCGCGUAGGCGGCGGGGUAAGUCUGGUGUGAAAUCUCGGAGCUCAACUCCGAAAUUGCACUGGAUACUGCUCUGCUAGAGGGCUGGAGAGGAGAUCGGAAUUCACGGUGUAGCAGUGAAAUGCGUAGAUAUCGUGAGGAAGACCAGUGGCGAAGGCGGGUCUCUGGACAGUUCCUGACACUGAGGCACGAAGGCCAGGGGAGCAAACGGG
rnacentral:rRNA from 1 species